GGUUGUGUAGUGUAGUGGUUAUCACAUCGGAUUCUGAUGAAUGACGGUUGUCUGCUAGACUUCCGGUAACCUGGGUUCGACUCCCAGCAUGACCU